GACGAACGCUGGCGGCGUGCUUAACACAUGCAAGUCGAGCGGAGAGAGGUAGCUUGCUACUGAUCUUAGCGGCGGACGGGUGAGUAAUGCUUAGGAAUCUGCCUAUUAGUGGGGGACAACAUUUCGAAAGGAAUGCUAAUACCGCAUACGUCCUACGGGAGAAAGCAGGGGAUCUUCGGACCUUGCGCUAAUAGAUGAGCCUAAGUCGGAUUAGCUAGUUGGUGGGGUAAAGGCCUACCAAGGCGACGAUCUGUAGCGGGUCUGAGAGGAUGAUCCGCCACACUGGGACUGAGACACGGCCCAGACUCCUACGGGAGGCAGCAGUGGGGAAUAUUGGACAAUGGGCGCAAGUCUGAUCCAGCCAUGCCGCGUGUGUGAAGAAGGCCUUAUGGUUGUAAAGCACUUUAAGCGAGGAGGAGGCUACUUUAGUUAAUACCUAGAGAUAGUGGACGUUACUCGCAGAAUAAGCACCGGCUAACUCUGUGCCAGCCGCCGCGGUAAAAC
rnacentral:rRNA from 1 species